rnacentral:rRNA from 1 species
GCUGAAACCAGAGCUUGCUUUGGUGGAUGAGUGGCGAACGGGUGAGUAACACGUGGGUGAUCUGCCCUACACUUUGGGAUAAGCCUGGGAAACUGGGUCUAAUACCGAAUAUUCACACCACCGUAGGGGUGGUGUGGAAAGCUUUAUGCGGUGUGGGAUGAGCCUGCGGCCUAUCAGCUUGUUGGUGGGGUAAUGGCCUACCAAGGCGUCGACGGGUAGCCGGCCUGAGAGGGUGUACGGCCACAUUGGGACUGAGACACGGCCCAGACUCCUACGGGAGGCAGCAGUGGGGAAUAUUGCACAAUGGGCGCAAGCCUGAUGCAGCGACGCCGCGUGGGGGAUGAAGGCCUUCGGGUUGUAAACUCCUUUCGCUAGGGACGAAGCCUUAUGGUGACGGUACCUGGAGAAGAAGCACCGGCUAACUACGUGCCAGCAGCCGCGGUAAUACGUAGGGUGCGAGCGUUGUCCGGAAUUACUGGGCGUAAAGAGCUCGUAGGUGGUUUGUCGCGUCGUCUGUGAAAUCCCGGGGCUUAACUUCGGGCGUGCAGGCGAUACGGGCAUAACUUGAGUGCUGUAGGGGAGACUGGAAUUCCUGGUGUAGCGGUGAAAUGCGCAGAUAUCAGGAGGAACACCAAUGGCGAAGGCAGGUCUCUGGGCAGUAACUGACGCU